ACAAAUACAGAGAAUUUCGGUUCGGUUGAAGAUAGCCCAUUUGGUUUAGAUUUCAGCAUUAUACCCGAUUUUACUAAUAUUUUGGAAUUGGCUCCAGCCUAUUCCACAAAAAUGGAUGAUGCGACGGCUGACGGUAUUCUACGGGACAUAUUGAACAAACCUGAAUAUUGUCACAACGCCGCUAUACAGACCAGCAAUGUUGAUGAGCGACCGUAAUCCCCCCACGCGACAGGGGGUCGGGCUAAAACAUUCGAAUAUAAAGCAGAUGAUGCGGUAGCAAGGCGAUAUGAUACUACGAUACCAACAGGCCGUGAUACCGUCGCGCAAAUACACAGGCCUAGUACAAGUGGGAAAACAUCAAAACGCACAACCGCCGCUGAAACGGGGAACCAUCAUUUCGCAACAGCAGAUGAUGCCGUAGCAAGGCGAUAUAAUCCUACGAUACCAACAGGCCGUGAUACCAUCGCGCAAAUACACAGGCCUAGUACAAGCGGGAAAACAUCAAAACGCACAGCUGCCGCUGAAACGGAGAACCAUCAAUUCGUAACGCCGUCAAUUGUACAUAACAGCCUAAAGGAUGUUGCUAGGUCAUCGGUUAUGGUGGUGCAUAACGGUUGUAUCAACCCGAACAAACGAAGGCCGGCUCGACCAAGAACGAAUGAGAGAAGUCAUAAUUCAGCAUUUACAGAUCUGAAAAGAAAAUUGUCAUAUUCCGAAAAUGAUAAGCCGCAACGGAGAAGGAUCGCGUUACAAACUGUAUCAUGCGUAAGUAAUGAUGUUGCUGUAACAUCAAAACACACAGCAUUUAACACUGCAGACCGGGAUGUCGCUGGUAAUACAAAGACUGUAAAGGUUAAGAGGGCAUCGCGUCUCUCAAGAAGUAAUGUUAAGCAAUUGCCGCAAUCAGCUGUAAUCACAAUUCCAGAUACACAGGUUUGUUCUGAAACAGAAACAAGGCACAUAGCAGGCAUUGGUUUGUUAUCAAAUAUUAACUCAAGAAGUAAUGUUUAGCAAUUGUCGCAAUCCGAUGUCAUCACUAUUCCCGAUACACAGGAUUGCUCUGAAACAAGACACAUAGCUGGUAAUCCUGUGUUAUCAGAUAUUGAUGACAUAAAUGGGCAAGAGCUUAUUACAAACUGUGUAGAGUCAACGACACAAGAUCCGCAGAAUAGUUCUGAUGAAGUAUUAUCAGCCGUUGCAGGAAUACCUGGUAAUACUACAACGGUUGAUUGUGUAACAUCAAUGCCCAAUAUUUUUACAACGACAGCCAUGGUACACGCAUCGGCUGAUGCUUGUGCACCGGCGCGAGGGAUAGCGCCCGACAUAGUUGAUGAAUGUCAAAAUUCAGAACAAUUAGGCCAAGACGCUGAAAUACAAUUUUACGCGUUGUUGGGUAAGAUACGGGAAGAUGUUGAGAACAUGGGCGUAAAAGCCAGAUAUUUGUUAAAACACAUUAAAGGUGUGAGCCACGGUAGUAAAUGUAAACAAGACAUUGUUAAAGAAGUUGUUGAGACGUAUAUGAAUGUCAUGUCAAAAUACAUAGAUCGGUCAGUUAAGACAACUGAAUUUAUUAAAGCCAACAUACAUCAUUUUGCAGAAAUAAAUGAAACUGAGCCGUGACUAGGCAUGUUAGGCAAUGGUUUGAAACGUGUUUUAAAUUUAAAUGCCUGUAAAAAACAACCACGAAUUAAACCUUGUUUAACAUACAAGAUCUCACAGUUAUUCCGACGUGCAAAGGUGAAACAGGCUGUAACAACAUUAACCAGAUUGAGAAAGCGCAAGCGGCACAGGGAACAUGUGGUAGGCGGGAAGCAGAGUGCGAUGUAUGUAGAUUUAGAUCAAUCGCCACCCCAAGCAUUACCGAAUGACGAAUCACAGACUGACAAUAUUGAGCGCAUUGCAA